rnacentral:rRNA from 1 species
UACGGAGGGUGCAAGCGUUGUUCGGAAUUACUGGGCGUAAAGGGCGCGUAGGCGGUUUGGCAAGUUGGAUGUGAAAGCCCAGGGCUCAACCCUGGAAUUGCAUUCAAGACUGCUUUACUUGAAUUCGGUAGAGGUUGGUGGAAUUCCCAGUGUAGAGGUGAAAUUCGUAGAGAUUGGGAAGAACACCCGUGGCGAAGGCGGCCAACUGGACCGACAUUGACGCUGAGGCGCGAAAGCGUGGGGAGCAAACAGG